rnacentral:rRNA from 1 species
AUUGAACGCUGGCGGCAGGCUUAACACAUGCAAGUCGAACGAGUGGCGGACGGGCGAGUAAUGCUUGGGAAUCUAGCUUAUGGAGGGGGAUAACUACGGGAACCUGUAGCUAAUACCGCGUACCAUAGGUUGGGCCCAAGUGGGAUUAGGUAGCUGGGGAGGUAAAGGCGCACCAAGCCGUCGAUCUCUAGCUGGUCUGCGAGGAUGACCAUCCACACUGGCACUGCGACACGGCCCAGACUCCUACGGGAGGCAGCAGUGGGGAAUAUUGCGCAAUGGUGGCAACCUGACUCAGCCAUGCCGCGUGAAUGAAGAAGGCCUUCGGGUUGUAAAGUUCUUUCGGUAGCGAGGCGUUAACUACAGAAGAAGCACCGGCUAACUCCGUGCCAGCAGCCGCGGUAAUAC